rnacentral:rRNA from 1 species
GAUGAACGCUGGUGGCGUGCCUAAUACAUGCAAGUCGAGCGAACGGACGAGAAGCUUGCUUCUCUGAUGUUAGCGGCGGACGGGUGAGUAACACGUGGAUAACCUACCUAUAAGACUGGGAUAACUUCGGGAAACCGUAGCUAAUACCGGAUAAUAUUUUGAACCGCAUGGUUCAAAAGUGAAAGACGGUCUUGCUGUCACUUAUAGAUGGAUCCGCGCUGCAUUAGCUAGUUGGUAAGGUAACGGCUUACCAAGGCAACGAUGCAUAGCCGACCUGAGAGGGUGAUCGGCCACACUGGAACUGAGACACGGUCCAGACUCCUACGGGAGGCAGCAGUAGGGAAUCUUCCGCAAUGGGCGAAAGCCUGACGGAGCAACUCCGCGUGAGUGAUGAAGGUCUUCGGAUCGUAAAACUCUGUUAUUAGGGAAGAACAUAUGUGUAAGUAACUGUGCACAUCUUGACGGUACCUAAUCAGAAAGCCACGGCUAACUACGUG